rnacentral:rRNA from 1 species
UACGAAGGGUGCUAGCGUUGUUCGGAAUCACUGGGCGUAAAGCGCGCGUAGGCGGCUUUGCAAGUCAGGGGUGAAAUCCCACAGCUUAACUGUGGAACUGCCUUUGAAACUGCAAAGCUGGAGUGUCGGAGGGGAUGGCGGAAUUGCUAAUGUAGAGGUGAAAUUCGUAGAUAUUAGCAGGAACACCGGUGGCGAAGGCGGCCAUCUGGACGACAACUGACGCUGAGGCGCGAAAGCGUGGGGAUCAAACAGG